UGUAACAAGGUUUCCGUAGGWGAACCUGCGGAAGGAUCAUUA
rnacentral:rRNA from 1 species